rnacentral:rRNA from 1 species
UAAGACGAACCGUGCGAACGUUAUUCGGAAUCACUGGGCUUAAAGCGCGUGUAGGCGGGUCGGUGCGUCGGCCGCUGAAAUCCCCCGGCUCAACCGGGGAAGGGGCGCCGAUACGACCGGCCUGGAGCGACGUAGGGGGAACUGGAACUUCCGGUGGAGCGGUGAAAUGCGUUGAGAUCGGAAGGAACGCCCGUGGCGAAAGCGAGUUCCUGGAC